rnacentral:rRNA from 1 species
AUUGAACGCUGGCGGCAGGCCUAACACAUGCAAGUCGAACGAGUGGCGGACGGGUGAGUAAUGUCUGGUAAACUGCCUGAUGGAGGGGGCUAACUACUGGAAACGGUAGCUAAUACCGCAUACCAUCAGAUGUGCCCAGAUGGGAUUAGCUUGUUGGUGGGGUAACGGCUCACCAAGGCGACGAUCCCUGGCUUGUCUGAGAGUAUGACCAGCAACCCGGGCACGGGGACACGGUCCAGACUCCGACGGGAGGAAGCAGUGGUGAAUAUUGCACAAUGGGCGCAAGCCUGAUGCAGCCAUGCCGCGUGUAUGAAGAAGGCCUUCGGGUUGUAAAGUACUUUCAGCGGGGAGGCGUUACCCGCAGAAGAAGCACCGGCUAACGCCGUGCCAGCCGCCGCGGUAAUAC